rnacentral:piRNA from 1 species
UAUUGUAUUUUGAGAACUUUU